GUUGACCUCGGAUCAGGUAGGAAUACCCGCUGAACUUAAGCAUAUCAAUAAGCGGAGGAAAAGAAACCAACAGGGAUUGCCCCAGUAACGGCGAGUGAAGCGGCAACAGCUCAAAUUUGAAAUCUGGCCCCAGGCCCGAGUUGUAAUUUGCAGAGGAUGCUUUUGGCGCGGUGCCUUCCGAGUUCCCUGGAACGGGACGCCAUAGAGGGUGAGAGCCCCGUACGGUUGGACACCAAGCCUUUGUAAAGCUCCUUCGACGAGUCGAGUAGUUUGGGAAUGCUGCUCUAAAUGGGAGGUACAUUUCUUCUAAAGCUAAAUAUUGGCCAGAGACCGAUAGCGCACAAGUAGAGUGAUCGAAAGAUGAAAAGCACUUUGAAAAGAGGGUUAAACAGCACGUGAAAUUGUUAAAAGGGAAGCGCUUGUGACCAGACUUGCGUCCGGUGAAUCACCCAGCUCUCGCGGCUGGGGCACUUCGCCGGCACAGGCCAGCAUCAGCUUGCCGUCGGGGACAAAAGCUUCAGGAACGUGGCUCCUCUCGGGGAGUGUUAUAGCCUGUUGCAUAAUACCCUUCGGCGGGCUGAGG
rnacentral:rRNA from 1 species